CCUACGGGUGGCUGCAGUGGGGAAUAUUGCACAAUGGGCGCAAGCCUGAUGCAGCCAUGCCGCGUGUGUGAAGAAGGCCUUCGGGUUGUAAAGCACUUUCAGCGGGGAGGAAGGCGGUGAGGUUAAUAACCUCAUCGAUUGACGUUACCCGCAGAAGAAGCACCGGCUAACUCCGUGCCAGCAGCCGCGGUAAUACGGAGGGUGCAAGCGUUAAUCGGAAUUACUGGGCGUAAAGCGCACGCAGGCGGUCUGUCAAGUCGGAUGUGAAAUCCCCGGGCUCAACCUGGGAACUGCAUUCGAAACUGGCAGGCUAGAGUCUUGUAGAGGGGGGUAGAAUUCCAGGUGUAGCGGUGAAAUGCGUAGAGAUCUGGAGGAAUACCGGUGGCGAAGGCGGCCCCCUGGACAAAGACUGACGCUCAGGUGCGAAAGCGUGGGGAGCAUACAGGAUUAGAUACCCGAGUAGUC
rnacentral:rRNA from 1 species